rnacentral:lncRNA from 1 species
AUUUAUUUUGUAUGUAAAAUAUAUCAAAUAUAGUGACUGAAUAAUGAGAUUACAAAAAGGAAGACUAGUAUAAGUUAUAAAAAAUUUGAAACAGAAAAGAAUCUCAACAUUUCAACAUUUAUUUAAUUAAAUUUGUUAACAUAUGCCUUAUUAAUUUAUUCUAAGCCAUAACUUACUUCAAUAAAAUAUGAAACAAAUGAAUAUAUGCUGUUGAAGUUUUAUUGACUACAAAUGCUUACAUGGCUGCAUCCCAAUAAAAUCAUUGUUAACCUGUACAACCACAUUUUUAUACUAGCACGUAUAAAGGAUGAAAAGCUUCAAAACUUAACAUAUUGGAUUUACUAACAAGAAUAAAAUUCUUACACAGGAAUUGGUGUCUUUCACAAGUAAUAAAAAAACCAAGAAUUAAGUUUUAAAAUAAGAGUCUUUCAAUAAAUAUAAGUCUGGUGUAAAGCAAAGUAACAAAUUCAUUGGAUUUCACGUGACUAUUGGGUAAUAUCAAGAAAUUGAGAUUAUACAUGUUAUUCAAAUCACAGUAACAAAAACAUAUACUAGUAUGAUGAGCAUGAUAAAAAAUAUGAGAUUCUGUAUCAAUUUAUUAUGUUUUAAAAACACAGCCUCUGAUGUCCGAGUUUAACAAGACUCAAAUUUCAGUGCUUUAUUAAAUUAUUGUGUUUGACAGAUUGUUUCCUAAAAAAGGCAAAAUAGUCUAUACUGAAUAUACUGAACAUUUAAAUAGAUAAUAACAUAAAAAGGAAAAAAAAAUCUUUAAAACACCUUAAUGGAAGGUCCCCAAUCUCAAUAGGUUGGCUAGCUUUCUGUGAAGUUCCAUAGAUUUAAUUGUGACCAUCUUUUGAAACUUUUUGACGAAAAAUCACUUAAAGUCCUACAUCUGUAUUAUUUGUCUAGUUUUGGCAACCCCUAAAGUUAUACAGCUGUAUAAUUUGUCUGAAUUUUGGUAACUUGAAGUCAAAAUUUCAUAAUAAUCCUUGAUAUUGUCUAUUUAGUUCCUGAUAUCCUUAACCUGACAAGAUAGGUAAUAAUGGACACAAAAGCAAAAAGAUGGAUAAGCAUGGGAACACACCCAAUGUUUUCAUACAAUUGAUGUUCCUUAUCUCUGAUCACAAAAUAUAUAGAUAAUAUUGUUUAUCACAUCAUUUGUUUGAACAAAUAAACAUUAGUUUUUAACUUGAAAAAAAGUCUUUCUUGUUUCAGAAAACAGUCUUACUGUUAGAUUUUUAAAUUGCAAUAUUUUAAUACAUAUUUCCUGGUAUAAUAUACUGGAAAUAUUAUAAAAAUGUAAAAAUCAACAAUUACAGUUUAUGUAUGAUUUCAGAAGGAUUUCUGUACAAUUGGCAAACAAAUUGCAUUCCUGAGAUCAGAAAUAUAAUUCUGAUAAAUUGACUCAAUAAAAAUAUGAACAAUAAGAUAACAAAGCUCUACAAAAAGAAUACAGUUAUCAUGCAUAAGAUUAAGUACAAUCAAAAUGGAAAUGUAGAAAAAAAGUUUUAUUCACAUUGGACUAUAAAAAUAAAGGGACUUUGUAAAAAUAAUGUAAAUGAUUUCAAUUCUUCCAAAAAAAGAGAUAAAACAUCACAGCAAUUUAUGGAUCUCUACUGUUAUCACACCAAAAAAAUAUGCCACAUAGAUAUUUUGUAACAAAUAUUUUUAAAAGAAUUAUUUUUCUGGGCAUACCAGACAGAAGCAGAGUCGGAUAAUAAAACAU